GCUUUUUAUCCUUGACAGUCCACACCGAUAAGGACUGCCUGCUGCUAGCAAACCUGUUUUUCCGAGUAAUGAAGUAAAGCCAACAGAACUGGUGACAAGGGCUUGCUUUUCCUAGGCAGGAUUCAUCCCAGGAGAGCUUGGUGCACAGUAGUCAAGAGUUCUAAUGUUGCCACAGCAGAAUAACCAAAGGUACUUCCUGGCUUAUUGGACAUAGGAAGAACACGCAACUGUGGUUGUCUAAUGGUGCCGGAAGAGCGCCAUCCCCUUUAACCUUUUGCUGCAUUGUUAAUGCUCUUCUCCCUUGGGCAAGACUUGCUCCACUGGAGUAGUAAUUGUGCAACAGUCAAAAGAAAAGAAUGUGAGGAAAUAGCCAUCAAUAACAAAGUUGGCAACCCCCUGUGAGGAGAGCUAUUUUCACAUGAAAAUCUUCUUCAAAGAGGUAAUGAAGCCUUGCUUCAUUUGACAUCUUAUCAGCUUCCCCUGCCUCCAUAGAGGCCUCCUGCAGCUGCCCUCCUUGAUCUUGCUGGGAAAGCCUGGAUUUACGGCAAUGCAGAUUGUUCCUUGGCCUCAUAUUGGGAUGCCAGAAGUGGGGCAGUAGUUUCAUCGCAGUGUCAAACGGAGAGGCAAGCCAGGCUGGGAGGUUCAGUCUCAUCAACCCAUGUUGUCAUCCCAAUUCAUUAGCCUCUGCCACAGAGAACAGGGAGAGCAAGACUGAUGGAAGGGGAAAGGUCUUUUGAAGAAACACCUACAAGGUCAUAAAAUGUUUCUCAGUCUGGGAGGAGGGAUUUACUUGUAAAUCACUGCUUUCCUGCUCACAGUGUCCCCUGGCAUGGCUUUCUAGAUGAGCACAUUCCAGGGAUGUGAAGUGGUCUGUCUGCCUGAUUUGAUGCUUGCUCUUUUAACCAGAACCACAGAAGAGGAAAAUAUCAAUGAUUUCUCAUGAGUACUAAGUGCACGUUACAAUUAUUUAUAUUUUGCUUCCUGUGUGUAUUUGGAGCCUAUUUAAAGUAGCAGCACACAAUGCUUUUCUAGUGUAGCAGGCAGGUGGUCAAACAUCAGGAGAGGAAAACAA